AAAAAACUUGCGGAGAAGGAGAGAGAGAAGGAGAUGGGAAUAAUCAAGAGCUGCUUCUCCCUGUUGACGGGUAUUGCUUUCGGCGUUUACUUGGCUCAGAAUUACAACGUACCCAACAUCAGGAAGCUCACCAACACCAGUCUCGUCGUCGCCAAGCACAUCGAGGAGAACUAUCGCAAGCCCAAGAAGGACGACGUCGAAUGAUUCGGAAUCUAAAGGUUGAAACUUUAAAGAGGUUUUGUCUCAGUUGUUGAUUUAACUUCAAAAGGUUUGAUGUAAUUUUGACAUGUUCUGGAUCCAUUGAAGUGGGACUAAUGUUCUCUUCAAUUCUUGUUUUAUUUAUACUGAUUUAAACACAGCUCUCACUGUACAUGUCAUGAUCAUAUUCUCUUUUUGUUU